rnacentral:misc_RNA from 1 species
GAUGAAGAACGUAGCGAAAUGCGAUAAGUAAUGUGAAUUGCAGAAUUCAGUGAAUCAUCGAAUCUUUGAACGCACAUUGCGCCCGCGAGUAUCCUCGCGGGCAUGCCUGUCCGAGCGUCAUUUCAACCCUCAGGGCCCGCCUGCUUGCAGGCGCGGCGCUGGUGUUGGGGAUCGGCUACCCUGCCGUCCCCCAAAUACAGUGGCGGUCUCGCUGCAGCCUCCCCUGCGUAGUAGCAACACUCGCAUGCGGAGCGCGGCGCGGCCACGCCGUAAAACCCCCGACUUUCUGAACGUUGACCUCGGAUCAGGUAGGAAUACCCGCUGAACUUAAGCAUAUCAAUAAGCGGAGGA